AUACUUACCUGGCAGGGGAGAUACCAUGAUCACGAAGGUGGUUUUCCCAGGGCGAGGCUUAUCCAGGGCACUCUGCAUCCUGACCCUGCUAUUUCCCCAAAUAUGGGAAACUCGAUUGCAUAGUUUGUGAUGGUGGGGUACCCAUUUGUGUUCUUCCCUG